rnacentral:siRNA from 1 species
UAUGUCAUAAUAUUGGGAUGC